CACGUAGGGUGCGAGCGUUGUCCGGAAUUAUUGGGCGUAAAGAGCUCGUAGGCGGUGUGUCGCGUCGGCCGUGAAAACCUGCAGCUUAACUGUGGGCUUGCGGUCGAUACGGGCAGGCUGGAGUUCGGUAGGGGAGACUGGAAUUCCUGGUGUAGCGGUGAAAUGCGCAGAUAUCAGGAGGAACACCGGUGGCGAAGGCGGGUCUCUGGGCCGACACUGACGCUGAGGCGCGAAAGCCAGGGGAGCGAACGGG
rnacentral:rRNA from 1 species